rnacentral:misc_RNA from 1 species
GAUGAAGAAACGUAGCGAAAUGCGAUAAGUAGUGUGAAUUGCAGAAUUCAGUGAAUCAUCGAAUCUUUGAACGCACAUUGCGCCCCAUGGUAUUCCGUGGGGCAUGCCUGUUCGAGCGUCAUUUACCCCCUCAAGCUCCGCUUGGUGUUGGGCGUCUGUCCCGCUUCGCGCGCGGACUCGCCCCAAAGGUAUUGGCAGCGGUCGUGCCAGCUUCUCGCGCAGCACAUUGCGCUUCUCGAGGCACCGGUGGGCCCGCGUCCAUCAAGCUCACCCCCCCAGUUUGACCUCGGAUCAGGUAGGGAUACCCGCUGAACUUAAGCAUAUCAAUAAGCGGAGGA